AAAUAACUUGCAGUAAUAUACAAAGUACAAUUUCAAAUUCCUUUUUUAUAGAAUUUGAGCCGUUGUGCGUUGAACGGUAAACGGUGAAAGAAAACACGGUUUUAAGAAUGUACGCAAGGGUGAGAGCUACCCUUUUAAAAGGCUUGGGUCAGGUUGCUCUAUUGGGAGCGUUUAAAAGUACCUAAUUUACUAAUGCAAGGGUAAGGGGUAUGUUUGCUAGGGGGAGCAUUAGCAAAGCCGUUAAAAAGGCGUUUAAACGUAGU
rnacentral:sRNA from 19 species